AUUGAACGCUGGCGGCAUGCCUAACACAUGCAAGUCGAACGGGGCAGCAAUGCCUAGUGGCGGACGGGUGAGGAAUACGUAGGAAUCUGCCCUUAAGUGGGGGAUAACCAGGGGAAACCCUGACUAAUACCGCAUGAUCUCUUCGGAGCAAAGAGGGGGACCGCAAGGCCUCUCGCUUCUGGAUGAGCCUACGUCUGGUUAGCUAGUUGGUAGGGUAAAGGCCUACCAAGGCGACGAUCAGUAACUGGUCUGAGAGGAUGAUCAGUCACACCGGAACUGAGACACGGUCCGGACUCCUACGGGAGGCAGCAGUGGGGAAUAUUGGAAAAUGGGCGAAAGCCUGAACAAGCAAUGCCGCGUGUGUGAAGAAGGCCUUCGGGUUGUAAAGCACUUUAGCCUGGAAAGAAAAAACUUUGGUUAACACCCAAAGUCUUGACGGUACCAGGAGAAUAAGCACCGGCUAACUCUGUGCCAGCAGCCGCAGUAAAAC
rnacentral:rRNA from 1 species